AGGGAANCUUCGGCAACGGACGAAAGGCUGACCGAGCAACGCCGCGUGAGGGAAGAAGGGUUUCGGAUCGUAAAACUCUGUUGGUAGAGAAGAACGNUGGUGAGAGUGGAAAGCUCAACAAGGGACGGUAACUACCCAGAAAGGGANGGCUAACUACGUGCCAGCAGCCG
rnacentral:rRNA from 1 species